UACAGAGGUCCCGAGCGUUGUUCGGAUUCACUGGGCGUAAAGAGUGUGUAGGCGGUUUUCUAAGUUUGGUGUGAAAUCUCCCGGCUUAACUGGGAGGGUGCGCCGAAAACUGGAAGGCUUGAGUGCCGGAGAGGAUAGCGGAAUUCCUGGUGUAGUGGUGAAAUGCGUAGAUAUCAGGAGGAACACCUGCGGUGUAGACGGCUAUCUGGACGGCCACUGACGCUGAGACACGAAAGCGUGGGUAGCAAACAGG
rnacentral:rRNA from 1 species